UACUAUUGAUUUGUCCUUCUACAGGAUUAAUUGCCCUAAUUAUUCAGGAGAGAGGCUCACAUUGCAAAGUUCUGUUGUAUAAAUAUGGUGCCAAUGAGAUUGGCAAUUGUCUGACCAGAGCAGGAGAAUUACACCUAUAGAAUCAAACAUAAUUUCUAAAUUAUUACUUGGCAUGUCUCAUUGGGGUUCAUUUAUAAGCUUAAUAAAGCACAUUAUGACCAGCAGUUGAUAUUACUUAGGAUGACAAUCAUAAAUAACAUUAAUUUAUUUAUAUCUUUAAAAAGAUUUUUUAAUUAUUUAUUUACUGGAUUUACUGUAACUUCUCUGCAGAUUUGCACUGGGUUGACAUUGCCUAUUAAUAUGAUCUUGGAAUUUUUUUGCUUGUUUUUUAAUAUUAAGCAGCUGAUCAGCUUUUGCAUUUUUUUCUUUCAACUUCAACAAGACCUUUGUUGAGCCUUCUUCAGUGAAAGUAUCACAAGUCUAUCAUUGGAUAUUGAUAUUUUCCAUAGAAAUUGCAAUUCCAAUUUUUAUUUCUUCUAUUUCACACACCCAACAUCAAAUUUGCAUUUAAGAUAAAUAAUUAAGGGGAAAUCAGGCAACUCCCUCGCCUCUUCAGUUGUUCUGAUGGUAGCAAUGUGAUCAUGGAUACCCCUGCUCUUUUGAAUCCAGUUUGUGAUGUCCAAGUGCCGUGUUGCCUUAUUGUUGGAAGGAGAAAAUCUGAUGUUCCUCUGAUGCAAAAUGAUCUAUUCCAGUUGUGAUGGUACAACAGUCAUAACUAAAAAUAUAAAAAAAAUUCAGUGCCAAUUCUAUAUCCAGACCUUUGGGACUGUAUCCAAGAAUGGGAGGAACACAUACCCAGCUGUAACACCCAGAGGAGAAAAGGAGCAGAGAUUCUGAGGAACAUGUUUUUUCAUGUUUGUGGAAGACAGAAAAAUAAACAUCUUAAGUGUUUUUAAAACAGGGGGGAUAUGUGUUUGCUUUCAAACAGCUUUGUACUGGUGUGAUUUGCAAAAAAUAAUAGGAGAAAGCUCUGCUGUGUAUGCCACUCUGAGCUCAUGAAGGAAAGGCGGGUUAUAAAUUUAACAAAGAUGAGGUUUAAGAAAUUUAGUGAAAGACACAGAUGUGACAGAUACGCAAAAGGGUUAAAAAAACAGAUACCGGUAGUUUAUGUUUUUAUAUGCCUUCCAAUGAUUUUUAAUUUUUUCAUAUGCUCUGAUAUCUAAGCCAAUAGCAAAAGCUUCAGGAGUUAUUUCAUCUCAAAAGUGAAUGAAACUGAUAUGGAAGUAGAUACAUAUUUCUUUCAAUCCCACGCUAUAAACUAAAGACAAACUCGAGCGAGUAUCUGUUGUGACUGUCUGGUCUUUCUUUUCCUUGGGCUGAAGCUUUCCAUAUGCUGCUCCAUCCCAGCCACCUUUUCUCGCUCGCCCAGUGGCAAAAUACAGCGCCUGACUGGCCAAAACUCGAUACACGCUACAGUAUCGACUCCUUGACCUGCUGCAGUCGCAGCCUGUAAACCGAAUGCAGCACUAAAGAGCAGGGAAUGCUCUGGUCUGGAGUAAAAAAAAAACCGCAAACUCCACGGAGGGCCG